GGAAAGGCGCGCGAUACAGGGUGACAGCCCCGUACACAAAAAUGCACAUGCUGUGAGCUCGAUGAGUAGGGCGGGACACGUGGUAUCCUGUCUGAAUAUGGGGGGACCAUCCUCCAAGGCUAAAUACUCCUGACUGACCGAUAGUGAACCAGUACCGUGAGGGAAAGGCGAAAAGAACCCCGGCGAGGGGAGUGAAAAAGAACCUGAAACCGUGUACGUACAAGCAGUGGGAGCACGCUUAGGCGUGUGACUGCGUACCUUUUGUAUAAUGGGUCAGCGACUUAUAUUCUGUAGCAAGGUUAACCGAAUAGGGGAGCCGAAGGGAAACCGAGUCUUAACUGGGCGUUAAGUUGCAGGGUAUAGACCCGAAACCCGGUGAUCUAGCCAUGGGCAGGUUGAAGGUUGGGUAACACUAACUGGAGGACCGAACCGACUAAUGUUGAAAAAUUAGCGGAUGACUUGUGGCUGGGGGUGAAAGGCCAAUCAAACCGGGAGAUAGCUGGUUCUCCCCGAAAGCUAUUUAGGUAGCGCCUCGUGAAUUCAUCUCCGGGGGUAGAGCACUGUUUCGGCAAGGGGGUCAUCCCGACUUACCAACCCGAUGCAAACUGCGAAUACCGGAGAAUGUUAUCACGGGAGACACACGGCGGGUGCUAACGUCCGUCGUGAAGAGGGAAACAACCCAGACCGCCAGCUAAGGUCCCAAAGUCAUGGUUAAGUGGGAAACGAUGUGGGAAGGCCCAGACAGCCAGGAUGUUGGCUUAGAAGCAGCCAUCAUUUAAAGAAAGCGUAAUAGCUCACUGGUCGAGUCGGCCUGCGCGGAAGAUGUAACGGGGCUAAACCAUGCACCGAAGCUGCGGCAGCGACGCUGAUGCGUUGUUGGGUAGGGGAGCGUUCUGUAAGCCUGCGAAGGUGUGCUGUGAGGCAUGCUGGAGGUAUCAGAAGUGCGAAUGCU
rnacentral:rRNA from 1 species